UGUUAGAUGCUUGAAAGGAGCAAUUGCUUCACUAGUAGAUGGACCUGCGUUGUAUUAGCUAGUUGGUGAGGUAACGGCUCACCAAGGCGACGAUACAUAGCCGACCUGAGAGGGUGAUCGGCCACACUGGGACUGAGACACGGCCCAUACUCCUACGGGAGGCAGCAGUAGGGAAUCUUCGGCAAUGGGGGCAACCCUGACCGAGCAACGCCGCGUGAGUGAAGAAGGUUUUCGGAUCGUAAAGCUCUGUUGUAAGAGAAGAACGUGUGUGAGAGUGGAAAGUUCACACAGUGACGGUAACUUACCAGAAAGGGACGGCUAACUACGUGCCAGCAGCCGCGGUAAUACGUAGGUCCCGAGCGUUGUCCGGAUUUAUUGGGCGUAAAGCGAGCGCAGGCGGUUUAAUAAGUCUGAAGUUAAAGGCAGUGGCUUAACCAUUGUUCGCUUUGGAAACUGUUAGACUUGAGUGCAGAAGGGGAGAGUGGAAUUCCAUGUGUAGCGGUGAAAUGCGUAGAUAUAUGGGGAACACCGGUGGCGAAAGCGGCUCUCUGGUCUGUAACUGACGCUGAGGCUCGAAAGCGUGGGGAGCAAACAGGAUUAGAUACCCUGGUAGUCCACGCCGUAAACGAUGAGUGCUAGGUGUUAGGCCCUUUCCGGGGCUUAGUGCCGCAGCUAACGCAUUAAGCACUCCGCCUGGGGAGUACGACCGCCAAGGUUGAAACUCAAAGGAAUUGACGGGGGCCCGCACAAGCGGUGGAGCAUGUGGUUUAAUUCCGAAGCAACGCGAAGAACCUUACCAGGUCUUGACAUCCCGAUGCUAUUCCUAGAGAUAGGAAGUUUCUUCGGAACAUCGGUGACAGGUGGUGCAUGGUUGUCGUCAGCUCGUGUCGUGAGAUGUUGGGUUAAGUCCCGCAACGAGCGCAACCCCUAUUGUUAGUUGCCAUCAUUAAGUUGGGCACUCUAGCGAGACUGCCGGUAAUAAACCGGAGGAAGGUGGGGAUGACGUCAAAUCAUCAUGCCCCUUAUGACCUGGGCUACACACGUGCUACAAUGGUUGGUACAACGAGUCGCGAGUCGGUGACGGCAAGCAAAUCUCUUAAAGCCAAUCUCAGUUCGGAUUGUAGGCUGCAACUCGCCUAAAUGAAGUCGGCAUCUCCCGUAAUCGCGGAACAACACAGAGCGGUCAAUGUAUGAGUGUGAUUCUGACUCAGUAACUGUAAGCCGUAUCGCCGUAUCCGUAUGAGUCUGAUCCUG
rnacentral:rRNA from 1 species